rnacentral:rRNA from 1 species
AACGAACGCUGGCGGCGCGCCUAAUACAUGCAAGUCGAGCGAGAAGGUGUAGCAAUACACUUGUAAAGCGGCGAACGGGUGAGGAAUACAUGGGUAAUCUACCAUCGAGUGGGGAAUAACCAACCGAAAGGUUGGCUAAUACCGCGUACGCCUCCGAGUCUUCGGGUUCGGAGGGAAAGCUGCACUGUGAGUGUAGCGCUCUUUGAUGAGCUCAUGUCCUAUCAGCUUGUUGGUAGGGUAACGGCCUACCAAGGCUUUGACGGGUAGCUGGUCUGAGAGGACGAUCAGCCACACUGGCACUGCGACACGGGCCAGACUCCUACGGGAGGCAGCAGUAAGGAAUAUUGCGCAAUGGGCGAAAGCCUGACGCAGCGACGCCGCGUGGGGGAUGAAGGUCUUCGGAUUGUAAACCCCUUUCGGGGGGAAGAUGGAGCGAGCAAUCGUUCGGACGGUACCUCCAGAAGCAGCCACGGCCAACUUCGUGCCAGCAGCCG